rnacentral:rRNA from 1 species
AUUGAACGCUGGCGGCAGGCCUAACACAUGCAAGUCGAGCGGAUGAAGGGAGCUUGCUCCUGGAUUCAGCGGCGGACGGGUGAGUAAUGCCUAGGAAUCUGCCUGGUAGUGGGGGAUAACGUCCGGAAACGGGCGCUAAUACCGCAUACGUCCUGAGGGAGAAAGUGGGGGAUCUUCGGACCUCACGCUAUCAGAUGAGCCUAGGUCGGAUUGGCUAGUUGGUGGGGUAAAGGCCUACCAAGGCGACGAUCCGUAACUGGUCUGAGAGGAUGAUCAGUCACACUGGAACUGAGACACGGUCCAGACUCCUACGGGGGGCAGCAGUGGGGAAUAUUGGACAAUGGGCGAAAGCCUGAUCCAGCCAUGCCGCGUGUGUGAAGAAGGUCUUCGGAUUGUAAAGCACUUUAAGUUGGGAGGAAGGGCAGUAAGUUAAUACCUUGCUGUUUUGACGUUACCAACAGAAUAAGCACCGGCUAACUUCGUG